AUUGAACGCUGGCGGCAUGCUUUACACAUGCAAGUCGAACGGUAACAGGCCGCAAGGUGCUGACGAGUGGCGAACGGGCGAGUAAUGCAUCGGAACGUGCCCAGUCGUGGGGGAUAACGCAGCGAAAGCUGCGCUAAUACCGCAUACGAUCUAUGGAAGAAAGCGGGGGAACUGGAAGAGCCUCGCGCGAUUGGAGCGGCCGAUGUCAGAUUAGGUAGUUGGUGGGGUAAAGGCUCACCAAGCCGACGAUCUGUAGCUGGUGUGAGAGGACGACCAGCCACACUGGGACUGAGACACGGCCCAGACUCCUACGGGAGGCAGCAGUGGGGAAUUUUGGACAAUGGGCGCAAGCCUGAUCCAGCAAUGCCGCGUGCAGGAAGAAGGCCUUCGGGUUGUAAACUGCUUUUGUACGGAACGAAACGGCUCUGGUUAAUACCUGGGGCUAAUGACGGUACCGUAAGAAUAAGCACCGGCUAACUACGUGUCAGCAGCCGCCGUAAUAC
rnacentral:rRNA from 1 species